UGUGCCGAGUGUCCUUGACCCACUGGGCCUGCCCAUGGAGAGAAUGCCAUGCACCACAGCAGGUGCUGGAGCCUGAGGCCCCAGGCCACAUAUCUCCAUCUGUGCGGCCCCCACCCUGGGCACCUCCAACAAGCCCAGGCUCUGCCAAGCCCCCACAAGAGAGGAACCAUAGUGACUGGACACAGACACGAGUCCUGGCAGAGAUGCUGAUGGGAGAGGAAGUGGUACCCUCUGCACCACCCCUGCCUGCAGGGCCCUCAAACAUGCCACAAGUGCUAAGAGGAGGAUCUGGGAUCCCAAACCAGACCCCAAGACUGGAAACCCUCACACACCAGAUCAACAGCUCCCUGAACCCCAGCCAGAGACAACCACAGCCCAGCGAGGACACACAGAGCCCUGGCCAAGGCCUCUCUUCUUAUUAAAGAUUGCCAGACUGGC
rnacentral:lncRNA from 1 species